CCAUUCUAUUCUACCAAGAACCUCUUCACAUACAGAGUGUCUCAGGUUUGACAUCAUCCCUCUUCUGUGCCAGAAGGAACAAUUAGUCCUUCCAUAAAUAGAUCAAUAUUUGCUCAUGCUGUAGACUAUGGAAUCCAACCUGUAGUAUCCUUUCUGCAUGUUGGCACCAAGCCCACCUCAUGAAACCAGCAAUGGGCAUUUUUCUAAUUCUACUUUCAAAGGUGAG
rnacentral:lncRNA from 10 species